rnacentral:rRNA from 1 species
GAUGAACGCUGGCGGCGUGCCUAAUACAUGCAAGUCGAGCGAACGGACGAGAAGCUUGCUUCUCUGAUGUUAGCGGCGGAAGGGUUAGUAACCCGUGGAUAACCUACCUCUAAGCCUGGGAUAACUUCGGGAAACCGGAGCUAAUUCCGGAUGAUAUUUUGACUCGCAUGGUUCAAAAGUGAAAGACGGUCUUGCUGUCACUUAUAGAUGGAUCCGCGCUGCAUUAGCUAGUUGGUAAGGGAUCGGCUUACCAAAGCAACGAUGCAUAGCCGACCUGAGAGGGUGAUGGGCCACACAGGGACUGAGACACGGUGCAGACACCUACGGGAGGGACAAGAGGGGAAUCUACCGCAAUAGGCGAGAGACUGACGGGGCAACGCGGCGUGAGUGACGAAGGGCUUCGGAUCGUAAGACUCUGUUAUGAGGGAAGAACAUAUGUGUAAGUAACUGUGCACAUCUUGACGGUACCUAAAUAGAAAGCCACGGCUAACUACGUG